CCAGGUUCUGCUGACAGCGAAGGCUGGGAACGGCGACUUUCCCCUGGCAGCUGGAGGGAUGAGGAACCAGCCGGAGGUGCCCUCUUGCCAACUAAGUCCAGUGGGUGCCACGCUGCUCGGUAUGCGAAAGAAGUUCGGGACAAGUUGGCACACCACUUCAUCACAGCCGGCCAAGUUCCCUGGCAAGUUAAAGUGGUCACCAGUACUUGAACUGCACAAGAACUGCAGGUCUCGAUGUCCGCUGCCAUGGUGUCCGAGGAAACCCCUGGUUGGACGCCAUCUGUAGCUUCUGCUCGGCUGCAACGACCAUG